rnacentral:rRNA from 1 species
GACGAACGCUGGCGGCGUGCUUAACACAUGCAAGUCGAACGGUGACCUCGAGAGCUUGCUCUUGGGUGAACAGUGGCGAACGGGUGAGUAACACGUGAGUAACCUGCCCCUGACUCUGGAAUAAGCGCUGGAAACGGCGUCUAAUACCGGAUAUGACACACCCUCGCAUGGGGAGUGUGUGGAAAGUUUUUCGGUCUGGGAUGGACUCGCGGCCUAUCAGCUUGUUGGUGAGGUAAUGGCUCACCAAGGCGAUGACGGGUAGCCGGCCUGAGAGGGCAACCGGCCACACGGGGACUGAGACACGGCCCAGACUCCUACGGGAGGCAGCAGUGGGGAAUAUUGCACAAUGGGCGCAAGCCUGAUGCAGCGACGCCGCGUGAGGGAUGACGGCCUUCGGGUUGUAAACCUCUUUCAGCAGGGAAGAAGCGCAAGUGACGGUACCUGCAGAAGAAGCACCGGCUAACUACGUGCCAGCCGCCGCCGUAAAAC